rnacentral:tRNA from 1 species
GCGGCAGUGGCGGAACUGGUAGACGCGCAAGGUUGAGGGCCUUGUGGCAGCAAUGCCGUGGAGGUUCGAGUCCUCUCUGCCGCACCA